GUAUGUGAGGGCAAUCUGGCUGUGACAUCUGUCACCCCAUCGAUCGCCAUGGUUGCUUCAAAUGAUCUGGCUGGCUAGGCAGAUGUCCCUUCCUCCCUCACCACUCCAUGUGUGUCCCUCCCGAAGCUGCGUGCUCGGUUGAAGAGGACGGCCUUCCCUGAAAAGAGAAAAGAGACGGACUGGUCUUCAGUGGAGGGUAUACGAGUAGCUGCCUUCUCUGCUAGAACCUCCAUACAAGCUCUCAAGGUCCAUGGAUAAGAAUAUAGAAUUAAAAUCAGAUUACAAGAUUUUCAGAGUUUAGUGAAAAAAAUGA
rnacentral:snRNA from 1 species